GCGAAGAGGAGAGCGGGAAAAGAAAAUUGUGGAAGAAGAGUCGCAGCCUGAGAACGAAGAGUCAAGAUACGAAACUGUUCGAAAGUCGACCAUCGUUUAACUUUCUGUUGUUUUAUUGUUUUAACAUUGCCUUUUUAAGGCUUCGUUCGGGAUCGAACAGAAAAAGUUAGAAGAAGACGGUUGGAAAAGAACGUCGUCGUGAUUCGACCGCCAUGUUGAGAUUCGGAAUUGACAUAAGAUCUGCCGAAAGUUGGUGGCCCGAUGUAACGAAAAUCCAAGAUGGCGGCGGAGACUAGCGAUAUAAGUGGACGAGAGGAAAACCUUUCGAUUAACGAAAGAAUUCCCGGUAAAAGACUUGUUAUGUAAGGACAAUAAUGCAAGAGGCAAUGGAAUAAUAAAUAGCAUUAAAGGCAAAAAGUAAUAUAACACUUAUUCAUAUGGGCUUAUCACACCAGUGAAUGAGAUUUAUAUACAAAUUCUUUAAUGAUUAUUAACACCUUAAUACAAAAACUGUACAAUAAACUAUGGCUCUUUAAACAUUUACAUAAUAAAAAAUACAAAACACAUUUCUGACACAACAAAUAGUCUCUCUUCAGUCGGUGCUCGUACAUCAAUAUACAUUAUAAAAUAAAUCAUAAAAUACAUUAAAAAGCCAUUUUAAAUAUGAAAUUUUAAUGUAUUUUAUAAUGCAUAUUGGUACUGAUGUAUGAUCACCGACUGAAGAGAGACAAUUCAAUGUGUCAGAAAUGCGUUUUGUGUUUUUUAUUAGGUACAUGUUUAAAGAGCCAUAGUUUAUUGUACAGUUUUUGUAUU